rnacentral:rRNA from 1 species
AUUGAACGCUGGCGGCAUGCCUUACACAUGCAAGUCGAACGGUAACGGGCCUUCGGGUGCCGACGAGUGGCGAACGGGUGAGUAAUACAUCGGAACGUGCCCGAUCGUGGGGGAUAACGAGGCGAAAGCUUUGCUAAUACCUCAUACGAUCUACGGAUGAAAGCAGGGGACCGCAAGGCCUUGCGGGGACGGAGCGGCCGAUGGCAGAUUAGGUAGUUGUUGGGAUAAAAGCUUACCAAGCCGACGAUCUGUAGCUGGUCUGAGAGGAUGAUCAGCCACACUGGGACUGAGACACGGCCCAGACUCCUACGGGAGGCAGCAGUGGGGAAUUUUGGACAAUGGGCGCAAGCCUGAUACAGCCAAGCCGCGUGCAGGAUGAAGGCCUUCGGGUUGUAAACUGCUUUUGUACGGAACGAAAAGCCUUCUUUUAAUACAGGAGGGUCAUGACGGUACCGUAAGAAUAAGCACCGGCUAACUACGUG